CUCCCUGUCAAUACAAAACACGAGUAAUACAUUAUAUUACUUGACUAAUAUCGCAACAUACCACUAUCCACUGCCGCCGCCGCCAACACAAAGACAAGUAACAUAUUAUGUUAUCAUUUUGAAACCACUCCACGCCCAUCGAAAUUACCAUCACCACCAUCCAAUCACUGUACCACAAAAUUCCACUCAAAAUUAUUGACAAAAACCACGAAAAAAAAUCAAGGAGCAUCAACUUUAAUGACAGACAAAUAAUGGUGUCAACAAAAGGACCAUAUUAUCGGGGUCACAGCUUGCGGUCUAAAAUGAAGAAGCUGCAACACAAGAAGAAGAGGAUUCCAGAUUGCCGCCACAUGUGAUGAACCCACUGAUAGUAGUGAUAAUAUGAAACAGAGAGGAAGGUGCAGAGAUGAUGAUGUCCACGCAGUGGUGGUGCUAAGGUAUAAUGUUGGAAGUUGUGUUCCAAGAUAUUAGAUAUUGAAAGUGAGGAGAUCGUGUAUUUUAUAUUUUAAAUGGUAAAUAAUAGUUUUUCAAAUGUUUAUAUUAAUAAGUAGAGAUAUCCUACAUAUAUAAAGGAGGCAAACUCUUCCAAGACACAUGUCGCAAUUUCCCAUCGUCAUUCUCUUUUCUUUUUUUUCUUUAUUUAUUUCAGUCUUCCAUUACUUCACGCUAUAUCACUUCCCCACUCCACAAGCCCAUACCAAAACACAGCACUGACGGAAUGUACUUUCACGUAGCGCCCCAUACCUCUUUGCUCCUCAAUUUAUUUCACACAGCGCCCCAUAUCAUGCAAGAUUUCCCCCGCACAAGAUUCCGCUUUAAUCUUUGCAAAUUCCAUCGCCCUCUUAGAAUUUCUCUUCAUUAAGAUCUGCGCAGUGGUGAUUCCAGUUGUAGCAAUAUGGGAAGUAUUGACUUUCGCGAUGUCCGGAUGUUUUGAGUGCCGACAAUUGUAUACCACAGGAAGAAAUUGAUUCACGAGCGUAAUGAUUUUAGUCGUCUCUCCCAUGAAUCUCGAUGUAAUUUAAUUAUAAUUUUACCUUUUUAGAUUUAGAUUGAAUUAGUGUUUUCUCUUGGCAACAAAUUAGAUUUUGAAUAACUUUAUUUUUGCAGUUAAUGUGAAUGAAAUAGAGGCAUUAUAUGAAUUGUUUAAGAAGUUGAGUAGUUCAAUUAUAGACGAUGGAUUGAUACAUAAGGUAUGACUUUCCCUCAAAUGAUAUAUUUUCAACUAAGGUUCGAGCUUAUACAUAUUAUUUUAAGCUGAGCUCCUACUAAUGGGUUAUAUACACUUGGAUUUUCAGGAGAUAUUUAUGUGCUAAUACUCCCAUUUAUGCAUCCAGGGAACAAGAGAUUAUACGAACCUGAGUGGGGAAGUAACGAAUGAUGUGAAAAACCUUUGUCCUGAAUAGUUCUCUUGAAGCAAUCUCCAAUUCCUUUGUAUGGUUGUGCUGAUUUAAUAGAAGAUUUUUCAGGCUAAUUUUUUUUUAUCCCUUUUGUCCUGUAAAGUUUUGUAUGGGACUCGACUAUCCAUAUGCACCUUACUUGAUUAAGAGGUUUUAUUGAAUAAUUGUUCUGAUUUCUGUAAUUGCUAUAUUUAAAAAUCGAGAUUAAAUGGCAAAUGCUGCAGUAGUUUGGUUAUGUUGUUGAUGCAUGGUAUUCUUGUCAAAAACUAAUUAAAGCUAAGGGAAAAUUUUCAAGAUGAAUUUUUUAGUAAUAUGUUAUGUUUUGGUGCAUAAUCCAUUUAGCUUUGUGAAUCCAUUAUUACAUGCUUUCUGCAGUGAAAGAAAUAUUCAGAAUCAAAAUCAUUCGAGAAUAACUGCUUUUACAAUUGUAACUAAACUGCACCUUCAAAAUUUACUAUUGGUUAGUUUUAAAGAUCUCAGUUUGAGAUGUCAGAGUAGAAUAGUUAUAGCAGACUAUCUCUUAGCUGUUGCAAAUGUCAAAAGAUUUUGGAAUAGUAUUAACUUUGGUAAUUUCUUCAGGCAUGAAAACUUAUGCAGAGCCCAAAAAAAUUAGAUAUCUGAUCACAACUGCAGGCAGUUGAUGUAAGAAAAGGUUCCAGCAAGAUGGCUGCAUAUCGCCGGAAAUGGAAGGUCGACGAUCUUGUGCUUCCAAAGGUUAAAGGAUUUCCAGCGUGGCCAACUAUAGUAUUCCCUUCCUUUUUAUACCAAGCUUUGUUUUUGGUUUUUCUGUACUUUCAUUGAAUUAGAAUUUAGUGUAUCACGUUCUUAGAUUUUUGCCGUUCUUAGGUGUUGAAGUCAAUUAAAAGAUUACUUCAUAUCUUACCUGCUUGCAUGGGUUUUCAAUUUUAUUCUGAUGGAGAUGAAAAUUAGUGGAUUCUAUUUCUAAUUUUUCAUAUCAAAAUUAGACAUGCAGCAGAUGGUAUGAAGAUGAUUGGUGCUCACAAAGAGCUCCUGUUUUGAG
rnacentral:lncRNA from 1 species